rnacentral:rRNA from 1 species
AGCUCCAAUAGCGUAUAUUAAAGUUGUUGCGGUUAAAAGCUCGUAGUUGGAUUUCUGUUGAAGACGGUCCGUCCGCGCUAUGCGUGUGUAUGAGGUUCGACUUUGGCAUCCUCCAGGGGAACGUUUCUGCUCUUCACUGAGUGGUGCGGAAUUCGGAACUUUUACUUUGAGGAAAUUAGAGUGUUCACAGCAGGCAAUCGCCUUGAAUAUAUUAGCAUGGAAUAAUAAUAUAGGACCCUGGUUCUAUUUUGUUGGUUUCUAGGACCAAGGUAAUGAUUAAUAGGGAUAAUUGGGGGCAUUUGUAUUGGCGCGUCAGAGGUGAAAUUCUUAGAUUGCGUUACGACAAACUACUGCGAAAGCAUUUGCCAAGGAUGUUUUCA